AGUAAACAAAAACAGACUUGUUUUCAGAAAUAUCAGGAGAAAACAGCAAUCAUGAAUGUUACCGCUUUCUAAUAAGGUAGAACUCCAGGAACCUGCUCCAAGUAUUCCAAUGACAUGGAACAGGGAAGUGGACUGUGACAUGGAACUAGCGAAAAAUUUGAUCCGGAACCAACAUAUGAAACGAACGCCGCAUUAUUUGGGAACAUCGCAGUAGCGUAUUCUGGCCGCCGAACAAACUGGGCUUGGUAUCCCACUAGACCGGACUGUGCCUUGAAACAACCGGAAUUGUGUUUCUGCAUGCGUUGCAAGCAUAAGCCACUCAUUAACUCAUUUCGUCGGAGGAAGCAGUGGCCGUGAUGGAUUACCCACAACUGUAUCAGUACAAGUUUGUAUUAUGGCCAGCAGCAUCAGACAACGAUUCCUUAGGAUCUGCGAGUACCCUGACUACGGCAGCUGAAGGAAAAAACUAUAACAGCCCCUUCAACGGCGAUGUAAAUUAAGAUUAUCGAUGUUCAAUUUCAUAAGGAUUUAUAGUCAAAUUAGUGCAGUCGGGAGAUAUGAAAAUCCUUUUCUGAUUCUGGUUGAAACUUGUAAAAUUGUUGUAUGGUUUUGAUAAUUGUUGAUAAAUAAAAAUAAUGUGGCAUAUA